GGAGGGAUGGCCGAGCGGUUGAAGGCGGCGGUCUUGAAAACCGUUGUGCGCAAGCACCGUGGGUUCGAAUCCUACUCCCUCCGCCA
rnacentral:tRNA from 1 species